GAUGAACGCUGGCGGCGUGCCUAAUACAUGCAAGUCGAGCGAACGGACGAGAAGCUUGCUUUUCUGAUGUUAGCGGCGGACGGGUGAGUAACACGUGGAUAACCUACCUAUAAGACUGGGAUAACUUCGGGAAACCGGAGCUAAUACCGGAUAAUAUUUUGAACCGCAUGGUUCAAAAGUGAAAGACGGUUUUGCUGUCACUUAUAGAUGGAUCCGCGCUGCAUUAGCUAGUUGGUAAGGUAACGGCUUACCAAGGCAACGAUGCAUAGCCGACCUGAGAGGGUGAUCGGCCACACUGGAACUGAGACACGGUCCAGACUCCUACGGGAGGCAGCAGUAGGGAAUCUUCCGCAAUGGGCGAAAGCCUGACGGAGCAACGCCGCGUGAGUGAUGAAGGUCUUCGGAUCGUAAAACUCUGUUAUUAGGGAAGAACAUAUGUGUAAGUAACUGUGCACGUCUUGACGGUACCUAAUCAGAAAGCCACGGCUAACUACGUG
rnacentral:rRNA from 1 species